rnacentral:rRNA from 1 species
UACGGAGGGUGCGAGCGUUGUCCGGAAUUAUUGGGCGUAAAGAGCUCGUAGGCGGCUUGUCGCGUCGGAUGUGAAAGCCCGGGGCUUAACUCCGGGUCUGCAUUCGAUACGGGCAGGCUAGAGUUCGGUAGGGGAGAUCGGAAUUCCUGGUGUAGCGGUGAAAUGCGCAGAGUAUCAGGAGGAACACCAGCGGCGAAGGCGGCAUCCUGGACUGGUCCUGACACUCAUGAGCGAAAGCGUGGGGAGCGAUCCGG